AUGCGUCUAACAUAUCACAUCUUCUUUUUCUUCAGAUUCAAACGGCGGCAAAGGAGUAGGAGAACGUACGGUGCGUCUUUGACAACAACGAACAAAGAUAGAACACUGGAUAAUUCUCGCUCCAGAUUGUCCAUGAGUGAUGAAGAUGUGAAGCAGUUUGCAGAAAUUCCUAGGGAGGAUGAAGGGAAAUUCAGAGAUUGGAGGGGUUUGGAAUUCGAUGGUGCGAGGAUGAAAAGCCAAGUUUGA